UACGUAGGGGGCAAGCGUUAUCCGGAUUUACUGGGUGUAAAGGGAGCGUAGACGGCAGGGCAAGUCUGGAGUGAAAGGCAGGGGCCCAACCCCUGGACUGCUCUGGAAACUGUCCGGCUGGAGUGCAGGAGAGGUUAGUGGAAUUCCUAGUGUAGCGGUGAAAUGCGUAGAUAUUAGGAGGAACACCAGUGGCGAAGGCGGCUUACUGGACUGUAACUGACGUUGAGGCUCGAAAGCGUGGGGAGCAAACAGG
rnacentral:rRNA from 1 species